AUACGUAGGUGGCAAGCGUUGUCCGGAUUUACUGGGUGUAAAGGGAGCGCAGGCGGGCGUGCAAGUCAGCUGUGAAAUCCAUGGGCUUAACCCGUGGGCUGCAGUUGAAACUGUAUGUCUUGAGUGAAGUAGAGGUAGGCGGAAUUCCGAGUGUAGCGGUAAAAUGCGUAGAUAUUCGGAGGAACACCGGUGGCGAAGGCGGCCUACUGGGCUUUAACUGACGCUGAGGCUCGAAAGUGUGGGGAGCAAACAGGAUUAGAUACCCUGGUAGUCCACACUGUAAACGAUGAUUGCUAGGUGUGGGGGGUCUGACCCCUUCUGUGCCGCAGUUAACACAAUAAGUAUUCCGCCUGGGGAGUACGGCCGCAAGGUUGAAACUUAAAUGAAUUGGCGGGG
rnacentral:rRNA from 1 species